UACAGAGGGGGCAAGCGUUGUUCGGAAUUACUGGGCGUAAAGGGCGCGUAGGCGGCCUGCUAAGUCGAACGUGAAAUCCCUGGGCUCAACCCAGGAACUGCGUCCGAUACUGGUUGGCUUGAAUCCGGGAGAGGGAUGUGGAAUUCCAGGUGUAGCGGUGAAAUGCGUAGAUAUCUGGAGGAAUACCGGUGGCGAAGGCGGCAUCCUGGACCAUCACUGACGCUGAGGCGCGAAAGCUAGGGGAGCAAACGGG
rnacentral:rRNA from 1 species